ACGGAGGGUGCAAGCGUUAUCCGGAUUCACUGGGUUUAAAGGGUGCGUAGGCGGGCAGGUAAGUCAGUGGUGAAAUCCCCGAGCUUAACUCGGGAACUGCCGUUGAUACUAUCUGUCUUGAAUACUGUGGAGGUAAGCGGAAUAUGUCAUGUAGCGGUGAAAUGCUUAGAUAUGACAUAGAACACCAAUUGCGAAGGCAGCUUGCUACACGGUCAUUGACGCUGAGGCACGAAAGCGUGGGGAUCAAACAGGAUUAGAUACCCUGGUAGUCCACGCCCUAAACGAUGAUUACUCGACAUCAGCGAUACACUGUUGGUGUCUAAGCUAACGCAUUAAGUAAUCCACCUGGGAAGUACGAUCGCAAGAUUG
rnacentral:rRNA from 1 species